CAGCCGCCGCGGUAAUACGUAGGUGGCAAGCGUUGUCCGGAAUUAUUGGGCGUAAAGGGCUCGCAGGCGGUUUCUUAAGUCUGAUGUGAAAGCCCCCGGCUCAACCGGGGAGGGUCAUUGGAAACUGGGAAACUUGAGUGCAGAAGAGGAGAGUGGAAUUCCACGUGUAGCGGUGAAAUGCGUAGAGAUGUGGAGGAACACCAGUGGCGAAGGCGACUCUCUGGUCUGUAACUGACGCUGAGGAGCGAAAGCGUGGGGAGCGAACAGGAUUAGAGACCCCUGUAGUCCCUGUCUCUUAUAU
rnacentral:rRNA from 1 species